rnacentral:rRNA from 1 species
CCUACGGGUGGCAGCAGUGAGGAAUAUUGGUCAAUGGCCGGAAGUCUGAACCAGCCAAGCCGCGUGCGGGAAGACGGCCCUAUGCGUUGUAAACCUCUUUUGCCGGGGGGCAAAACCCGGUACGCGUCCCCUCCUGAAGGUACCCGGCGAAAAAGGAUCGGCUAACUCCGUGCCAGCAGCCGCGGUAAUACGGAGGAUGCGAGCGUUAUCCGGAUUUCUUGGGUUUAAAGGGUGCGUAGGCGGGCGUUUAAGUAGGCGGGAAAACCGCGGGGCCCAACCCCGACGGGCCGGUGAAACUGGGGGGCUUGAGUGGGGCAGAGGUAUGCGGAAUGCGUGGUGUAGCGGUGAAAUGCAUAGAUAUCACGCAGAACCCCGAUUGCGAAGGCAGCGUACCGGGGCGCGACUGACGCUGAGGCACGAAAGCGUGGGGAUCGAACAGGAUUAGAUACCCCAGUAGUC